AUUUUGUCUUGUAACUGCUUUUUUCAUUUUGUCAUCUGUCACCCUUUGCCUGGCAGGAUCUGACUUUGAUUUCCCUUCCUUACAAGCUACAGUUGAAAAUGAUAUGGUGGUUUCAUGGGGGACAAAAAGGGUACUUACUGAAGAAGAACCUCCAUUGAACUCAUCACUUAUCUUGGCUGCUAAGAGAACAUAUAGAAAAGAUCCUUUUAACAAUUUCAAAAGAUACACUGGAGGAUGGAAUAUCAG
rnacentral:misc_RNA from 1 species